rnacentral:ncRNA from 1 species
GCGCUGGAGAAUUGAGGGGGGCUGCUCCUAGUACGAGAGGACCGGAGUGGACGCAUCACUGGUGUUCGGGUUGUCAUGCCAAUGGCACUGCCCGGUAGCUAAAUGCGGAAGAGAUAAGUGCUGAAAGCAUCUAAGCACGAAACUUGCCCCGAGAUGAGUUCUCCCUGAGACUUUAAGUCUCCUGAAGGAACGUUAAAGACGAUGACGUUGAUAGGUCGGGUGUGUAAGCGCAGCGAUGCGUUGAGCUAACCGAUACUAAUGAACCGUGAGGCUUAACCUU